CUGGAAACGGGGUCUAAUACGGAUACUGAUCGCCUUGGGCAUCCUUGGUGAUCAAAAACUCCGGCGGUGCAAGAUGACCCCCCGGCCUAUCAGCUUGUUGGUGAGGUAAUGGCUCACCAAGGCGACGACGGGUAGCCGGCCUGAGAGGGCGACCGGCCACACUGGGACUGAGACACGGCCCAGACUCCUACGGGAGGCAGCAGUGGGGAAUAUUGCACAAUGGGCAAAAGCCUGAUGCACCGACGCCGCGUGAGGGAUGACGGCCUUCGGGUUGUAAACCUCUUUCAUUUGGAAGAAGCAAAAGUGACGGUACCUGCAGAAGAAGCGCCGGCUAACUACGUGCCAGCAGCCGCGGUAAUACACUAGGGCGCGAGCGUUGUCCGGAAUUAUUGGGCGUCAAGAGUUCGUAGGCGGCUUGUCGCGUCGGUUGUGAAAGCCCGGUGCUUAACCCCGGGUCUGCAUCUCGAUACGGGCAGGCUAGAGUCUCGGUAGGGAUAGAUCGAGAAUUCCUGGUGUAGUCGGGUGGAAAUGCAGCAGCAUAUCAGUGAGGAACAC
rnacentral:rRNA from 1 species